rnacentral:rRNA from 1 species
UCCGUAGGCGGGCUAAUAAGUCAGGGGUGAAAUCCCACAGCUUAACUGCGGAACUGCCUUUGAUACUGUUAGUCUUGAGUUAUAUGGAAGUAGAUAGAAUGUGUAGUGUAGCGGUGAAAUGCAUAGAUAUUACACAGAAUACCGAUUGCGAAGGCAGUCUACUACGUAUAUACUGACGCUAAUGGACGAAAGCGUGGGGAGCGAACAGGAUUAGAUACCCUGGUAGUCC